GUACAGGAUAUUAUUACAAAUGUAAUAACACCCUGUGUCUACGAUACAGAGACAGAAAUAAGCCCAGCUCUUCUUUUCUGAGAAUGUUGUAUUAAAUACCUUUAAAAUGCAGUGGGGUUUUUCCCUCAUCAACUCAUUGGUAUCUGCCUUGAUUUUUCUUUCUUUAAUCAAGCUGGGAAGAAAAUGCUGAUAUGCCAAUUUGAUUUUUCAAAAGUACAAAAUGUCCAAGCAUGACUCGUUUUCUUUUAAAUCAGAAUGCAGAAGUCGCACAGUGUGGCACAAUGCCAUACAACAUCUUCCAAAAUCUUAUGCUUUGGAAGGUGAAAUCUGAGAAAGAUUUCAGAACCUCCACUAAUCAGCAAAUGGAAAAAAUGAUCUGGAAAAUUUAUAGCCCGGAGCAAAUUCCAUUUUCUCUGUCAAGAAAGGGGAAGAAUACCAGUAAACUAGAUGUCCUGUAAUAACCUGUAGUCUUGCUUUCCUGACCAACAAGGAACUUGAAGGAUAGAAUCUGAUGGACUCAGGAUUCUUGAUCUGAUGUAUUCCAUUUACAUCUGUUCAUACAUUUGCAGCCUUGUAGGCUCAACCUUACACACCUGUCUGUUAUGAUGAGCUUAUCUGUCUGUCCUUAUGUUUAUUCUUUUUGUUUUGCUGUUGUUUUUAAAAAAUAAAAAUGAAGCCCAUGUACUAUUUCAAUCAGAAGGAGUUUAAAAUGUUUAAAACACACACACACCUUUUGAUCAACAUACACUUUUACUUUUGGGGGGAUUGAGGGAAGGUAUUAUUAUUUUUGGGUUUUUCAUUUAGCCUUUUGGUAAAAGUAAAACUGAGUUUUUCAGCAUAUCCUAAAAUAGAAACGCCAGUUCAGAUCGAACUGCAAAUUAAAGUUUGCUAAAGGAGACUGAGAUAUUUAAAAAGAAUGAUCCUAAAAUGGUAAUGAUCUUUAAGGUACAUAAAACUUUUUUACAGUAUCUCACACAGCGGUGCCCCUGAAGCUUUGCUCAUGGAGGGUGCUCUAGGAUCAGGCUCUUUCUGGGUAAUAUUUGUAGACAGUUCAUUGACCUCCCCAAUAAAGUGAUCUGUAAUAGUUUUUUCUCUUUUUUACUUUGAUCAUUUAUGGUGGAAAAAAUAGAGAAGCUAAAGGGAUUUUCUUACUGACCUUUCAACCAACAGUCAGUGACUACAAUAGUUACUAUAGUUUGUGUUACAGAAAAAAGUAGUGAUGUGUUACAAUAAAUUAGAAAUCUGAAUACAUUUUGUGUCAAUAAUAAAUUCAUACUUUUUAAUAUAAAAUGCUUAUUUUCUUCAGUGUUUCUCCUGAGCUCAGAAUAGAUGUAAUUUAGAGCUAAAUAUGAUCAAAACUUUUUUUGUGUUUCUGGUGUUUAAAGACAAGAAACACAAAAUCUCCUCAAAGUUCAAGAUGACAUGGCAAGUGUGACUCAUUACUGUUUAAGUUUAUUUUACUCCUGUGUCCGCCCCAAAUGACCUCUGCACACAUUCAUGGAUUUGGCGCAGAGUAGAAGGACUUUGGGCUCUUUUCAGAAGAGACAGCUCAUUCGGCUCCCAAAUGGCUCUUAUUAUCAUCUGCAGUCUCAUAUUUUACCAUAACUUGGCAAAUAUGAAUGUUUUGCAUGAUAAAUCAUUUUGCAGUCAAUGUUUCCUAUACAAGAAGCCUAGGCUUAUACUUCCUUAAUUGUUCUGUUAUGAAAGCACACAUUCAUACUUUGUAUAUUUUAAGUAAGUUGUGCUGAUUUGGCGUUUUUAUACAGGGCUGCAUUAUUAAUGACGUUCCGGUAGCGUUACCUGGGCGUGUGGUUGUUCGACGCCGUCGGUUUGCACCAGAUCUGCUACACCAAGGUUGAUCUCAGAGUGCUGGUUAAUACGAUGCAGUGUUGGCACUGCUUCCUGCUGUCCUUUUAGAGUUUGGUUUUCUGUUAGUCCGCCCAGUUAGGAUUGUUUGUUUCUUCUAUACUUGUGAGGUCAGGCUAACAACUUUUCAUUUAUUUUGUUUGUUUUGUCCUCCGUUUGUUUCUGGGUCACUUCCCUGAUUAUCUAUAUCCUGUGUCGCUGUUAAUCUUAAAUAGUUGAGACCUGAUCCUGUUGGUGUGAUCUCGGUUUGAAUUGCAUGUGAUCAUGUUUGCAGUGAAUCCAGUGCAUCUUAGGUUUGCAGUGAACAUUGUUGUGGUUUAUGCGGUUUGUCCGCCUGAAGUGGUUAAGUUCGGGUCGAACAUUAUCGGCGGAUAAAGUUAACGGGGAAUCCCUUUUAUGUGUGUACCAACAAAUGUUGUUAAUAAUUAA